UGCCACACGCACACACACACAGCCAGCACGUUAGCGGCCGGUGCGAGGAGAUAACAGAGAUAUUAACAUUUUAAUAUAAUUACAUAUAUCAUCUAAACAUUUGAAAAAGUACGUUGGGAACUAUACCGCUGCCAGGGAGCCUUGAGGGAUUUUCGUUGUGUGGGAUUUUCGUCGUGUUUGUCCGACGUGAAACUUGGUCAAGUUGUUUGGUUCCUUGGAAAGAUUUGAAGUUUGAUGGGGAGCCACCCAACUAGAACUACAAAAUCUUAAAGGACGGUAUUCUAUUUUAUUUUAUUUUAUGUCAUGGACUAAAGACAAGCACAUGACUCUUGUAAAGAAAAGGUUUUGAAUAUUGUAUUUUAUUUCUUUUAUUUCAAUUGCAUACACUAUAUAGACAUCUUAGGCUCCUUAGAAGGGUGGCCCCUAGGGUUUUACAUCCAUGCUGUAUACUAUUCAUGUCCAUAAAUACAUAAAUAUUUUCAUUCUUUCUUUAAUAAUUGUGUCGUUACUGUUAUUGUUUCAGUCUACUACCUCCUUCUUAUCUAAAUCUUCUUUAUUUAGGAAAAGUAAUGACGUAAAAGUUUCCAGAAAUAUAUAUAAAAUAUAAUAUAUAUAGUCUAACAAUGUAUAUAAAUUUACAUAUAACGCAGUAAAAGUACAGCUACGUGACAAUUCUACUUAAGUACAGUAACAAAGUAUUUUUACUUUGUUACAUUACAACCCUGGUUUAGUACAAACCUAAAUUGUGAAAUGAAAAAUAACUAGUAGAACCUUUAGAACAGCUCAUUACCAAAAGUUGUAGAAACAGGCAGGUGUAUUGGUCUCGCUGAAAAGAAAAUAUUUUGUCUGCUGAUUUAGGUGAGACUGACGAUGUUUUAUUUCUCAUUAUAAGAUUAUUUAUAGGCUUUUUGCUUUAGGAAAAUGUCUUAGUUUCUGUUUGGUUCUUUGGGAUGAUUGACUUAGACUGUAGAAAAUGAGUCUAUGAUGGAUGAUUUUAAGUAAUGUGAGUGUUUUUGGAAGGCAACCUUUUGUUUGGCCGAUUUCAUGCCUGGGACAAAAGAUAAAGUUCUUUGUUUUACAAUGUCUUUUAUGAAGGUAUGUGCAUGUCUGACCAUGUCUCACCACUGCAAAAGUUCUUUGUGUGUGUCCUAUAAGUCCGUGUGAGCUGGGCACUAGGUGACACAAUACCUACAACUUUUAACUUCACAUACUGUACAGUUUACUUUAUUGUGGUGCCACCUUCUGGUGGCCACCUUAAGGUUCCACAAACCACAGUACAAUAAACAACCAGACAUUACACUCACUUUUUGAAGCUAUUAGCAUAAAAACAAUACAACUGUGGAAGCCUAGCACAAGAUAGGAUACAAAUCAGCCAUUUAGAUAACACACGUUCUUUGUGCCUCAUACUGUGAACUUCUGCACAUUCCCAAAGCAUUUAGAACUUUAACAUAAAAACUGCAAAUUAUAUUGGAUUUGUUUAAUAAAUAUUUUUUAUAUUUUUAUUUUACAUUAGUCUAUUUUAUAUUAGUUUCUCCACCUUUGCAGUACUUGCCUUUUAUUUUCUGAUUAUUGUUAUAGGGCAUUGAUGCAUGAACUAUUGCGAAAUCAGACAUUAGGCUGUUUUUGGAACUUGUUUUGAGGUCAAAUGUUGCUACUGGCCAUUACCUAAGUCCAACUAUACAUUUUUAAUCCAGAGGCAGCUUCACUUCAAACAAAUCUGAAACUAAUUAGAAAUCGUGUAUUAUUUAGUCCUCAUUUCCAAUUUAGAGUUGCUUCUCCACUAUACUGUUGAAGUAUAAUUUGACAGCAGAUGUGAGAACAGGAAUCAGUUGCGUGUUACGUUGCACUUAUUCACUUGUGCAGCCACCAGCUAUUCUUUUUAAAUGAAAAAUCUCAAACCCCAGAGUGUUUGAAUUAUUUAUGUGUUCACUUGAACAGCUACAUGUUCUACACAUUAGGUCCUUGAAAAUUGACAGGUAGCCUUGGGAGAUAUUAAGAUGAGUAAAAUUAAAAGAAAAAACAAAACUUCUUAAAAAAAAAAGACCUUUAUUGAAGACAUUCUUAAA